rnacentral:tRNA from 1 species
GCCUUCGUGGUUAACGGUAGCACACUCGGCGCGUAUUCUAUAGGCCCAGGUUCGAGUCCUGGCGAGGGCA